GAAGCUGAGCCAGCGCACCGUGAGGAAAAUGUAGCUACAAAGGGAUUGAAGAACACUCAGCUUUUUCCUCGCUACGGAAGGAAGCAUCAACUCUAAAGCAUCAACUCUCUCUGGCAUGCCUGGUGCAUUCUAACGCUGGUGCAGGAUCCUUGGUGGCUUGUUUAAGCAUGGCGGAAGUCAGUGUUCAAAGAAUCCUUCUUUUGGUUAUUUCUCUGGCAAAGUGUCUGGAGGGUACAAAGUUGCUGGCACACCUUAAAAAGUGUGGUGACUUGGAAUGUGAAACUUUGAUCACCAGAGUCUUAGCCCUGAGAGAUCACACAGGACCUGACUGUCGGUACCUGAACUUCACUACGGGAGAAGAGAUAUCUGUUUAUGUGAAACUCGGAGGAGACAGAGAAGAUCUGUGGGCAGGAAGCAAAGGAAAAGACUUUGGAUUUUUUCCCAGAGAUGCAGUC
rnacentral:lncRNA from 1 species